rnacentral:lncRNA from 1 species
CAGAAUUAUACUGAAAAUUGAUGGAAUUAAUCAUCAGAUCAGAUAAAGGAAAGAGGUGCUUUAUCAGACAGAUGUCUCCAGUUGUUGAGUAAAGGUAUUGAAACAACCAUAAGAACAAACAAGCAAACAAACAAACAAAACCCAACUAGCAGAGAGACAAUUUCUGUUUACGUUUGCUGAAGAUUUUGAUUCACAAAUUAUGUGUUUUGCUUUCCUCCUCAAGGAGUUAGUGCAUUUCCUGCCUCUGUGGAAAUAAUCUUCCUG